AUGAUAGUAACAGCUGGCGUUAGGUACGCAGGUCACGGCGCAGACCAACCGAUCAACCAACUGCUCAAACCCGCCCGCCCGCCCGUCGUGCCAUGCCAUGCCAGCAACAAACCCAAACCCGACCCCGACCUUGACCGCACGGCGCGCGCCCAUGACCCAUCACGACGGCCGGGCGCGAUAGCCGCCGUGCCGUGCCGCCCAGUGGGCCUGCCGGUGGAAGGAACCCCCUUGAUGACGGAGCGUGCUGGCCUACUGGGACGAUGGAGGAGUUUAUGGUGGAAUCGAUGGCGAUGGCGAUGCGGGAGGGUUUUAUGGGUGACCAGUGCCCGGCGGCAUGGGGACGCACAGUGGUGGGCAUCAACGUACGCACGUAUCAUCAAUUCAUCAUCAUUGAAGGAUGAAGGACGCCCCAUCCUGCUGGAAGCCCCGGCUCGUAGUACGAUCGGAUCGGAUCGGGCGGGCGGCCGCCCUCUCCUCUCCAUCCAUUGCUGCUGUGCUGGGGCGCGCGGUGGCAACGGCAUGGCCACCGGCAGGCACGGCUGCCGCCGGGCUGCUUCGGGGCUUCACGCAUCGAUGAUGCGGCGAUGUGCGUCAUGGUCUCUCGCGAGUCGCGACGCUGGUGUGGUGCGUGUCAGCGUGUGUCGUGUGCGCGUCCAUGAUGCACCCACGUACAUACGUACAGUUCGCGGUGCGUUGCCGUCGGCCACAGUGUCCCCUGCUCCCUCCUCCACGCAUCGCCAUCAAGGCGCCAGCAACCGCAGUACCGCGCCAGCACGGAUCGGGAUCCCCUCACCCGGAAUGCCAAGGCAGCGACGUUUAAUUUUGCAUCCAACAGCGGGCAUAUUAAACUCUACACAGUUACAGCCCCUCAAGCUUUUAACAUGCCUGUGUGCUUCUUGGUGUGCAUUUAGGGCCCCUUUUUUGCCAAUAAAAACCUUCAACGAAACUAGUAUACGGACGACAGUACCCUGGACGAUGUUGGAUCGAACGGUGUUGUUUGUCGUCCAAUGUUUGUCGUCUGUGUAG
rnacentral:rRNA from 1 species